rnacentral:rRNA from 1 species
GACGAACGCUGGCGGCGCGCCUAACACAUGCAAGUCGAGCGACGGCCGGGCCUUCGGGCCCGGUACGGAGCGGCGAACGGGUGAGUAACACGUGGGUAACCUGCCCUCGGCACCGGGAUAGCCCGGGGAAACCCGGAUUAAUACCGGAUGGCCUUCUGCGCUCUCGGGUGUAGAAGAAAAGGUAGCUUCGGCUUCCGACCGAGGAUGGGCCCGCGGCCGAUUAGCUAGUUGGCGGGGUAACGGCCCACCAAGGCGA